AGUGAACGCUGGCGGUAGGCCUAACACAUGCAAGUCGAACGGCAGCACAGUAAGAGCUUGCUCUUACGGGUGGCGAGUGGCGGACGGGUGAGGAAUACAUCGGAAUCUACUUUUUCGUGGGGGAUAACGUAGGGAAACUUACGCUAAUACCGCAUACGACCUACGGGUGAAAGCAUGGGAUCUUCGGACCUUGCGCGAUUGAAUGAGCCGAUGUCGGAUUAGCUAGUUGGCGGGGUAAAGGCCCACCAAGGCGACGAUCCGUAGCUGGUCUGAGAGGAUGAUCAGCCACACUGGAAAUGAGACACGGGCCAGACUCCUACGGGAGGCAGGAGUGGGGAAUAUUAGACAAUGGGCGCAAGCCUGAUCCAACCAUACCGCGUAGGUGAAGAAGGCAUUCGGGUUGUAAAGCCCUUUUGUUGGGAAAGAAAAGCAGCAGGUUAAUACCCCGCUGUUCUGACGGUACCCAAAGAAUAAGCACCGGCUAAGUUCGUG
rnacentral:rRNA from 1 species